AUCGUGAUCUUUUCCAGGGCGACAGAUGGAAACGGACAGCAGAGAUGUCAGGUUGAAGAAGCACAAUGAAGAUGAUCUGCAGAGAAAAGAAGGGUGGUGACAAAUCACAAAAGAGGUGACGAAGUAGACAGAUGAAGGUGGUGAAGGGCAAAGGCUUGCCAUGAAGUCAAAGAAGAAGAGCGGUGAUUAAAGACGCCCUCACACAUGAGGAAGCUGUGAUGCCGGUGAAGGUCAGCUACUGUGUGAGCUCCAUGACAUCUCUUUUGCAGUGCAGCAGGUGCUGAAUCCUCCAUCACUCCAAGAUGAGCCUUCAAAGUGCAUCACAAUCAAUGUCAUAAUGAUGGUUAUUAUAUGAUUGAGCUGCAGCUCUCAACUGCUUACAUCCACUUCCACAUCCAUCCUAAAAUUAGUAAUGAUUGUCAUCAGCCAGUUUAUUCUGUCUGCUUAUGAGUCAGAUUUGGAAGUCUGUCAUUGACUCUUUGUAGUCUGUUG